rnacentral:tRNA from 6 species
GCACCCAUAGCUCAGCUGGAUAGAGCGUUGCCCUCCGAAGGCAAAGGUCAGAGGUUCGAAUCCUCUUGGGUGCGCCA